UGACUCUGGUUUCUCUUCAGCCGCACACAAACUUCGCCUUUUACUAAAGACUUCCGUGGAAAGGAACACCACAAGUUCAAUGAAACUAUUUUUGGAAGGCUUUACUUCUGGCAAACCG